GACGUAGGGGGCCAGCGUUGCUCGGAAUUACUGGGCGUAAAGGGUCCGGUAGGCGGUGCGGUAAGUCGGGAGUGAAAUCUCUGGGCUUAACUCAGAGGCUGCUUCCGAAACUACCGUGCUAGAGUGCGAGAGAGGCAAGUGGAAUUGCGGGUGUAGCGGUGAAAUGCGUAGAUAUCCGCAGGAACAUCCGAGGCGAAAGCGGCUUGCUGGAUCGCAGCUGACGCUGAGGGACGAAAGCUAGGGGAGCAAACAGG
rnacentral:rRNA from 1 species